AAAGGGACACCCAAUGAAGGGGCCACCGGGAAGAAUAACCUCCGCGGAAGGGGAGGAAAUGGGAGCGAUGCUAGGGGGCGAGUGCUAGAGACGUCUCAGAAGCCCUCAAGCUCCCUCCAGAGAAACUGUGUGCGAGAACUGUCCCAAGAAGCUCGUCGCCGGCAUUUUUGGGUUGCGCGUUCCCCACCCGCACCAAUAGCACAGCCCAGCCGAGUCCGGGUUCCGGCUGAGGACUCCGGGUCCACUCAGCUCCGCAGAGCUGCAGUUUUAGUACUCUGUCCUCCGGGGCUGGGAGUGGUGUUUUGAGCUUUGCUCUUCUGUGCACCCCGAUCAUGCUUAAUACCUGCACCUUUCUCGUCUACCCUAGCUUCUGGUGACUCUUUAAAGUAUAGGUUCAUGGAGCUGAAGAGCUGCUCAGUAGAGAGCAUCUCAUUUUACUUCUGCCCACGUUUUAGAGGGCCACCAAGGCAAUACGUCUGUGAGUCCACAAGAGCCACAGUGUUAUUGGACUUGGAGCUCAAGUCUCUUUGAGCACCUGGAAUGCCUUCCCAAAAAAGAUGGGCACAAAUAAGCCCAGACUGCAAAGACUACAGUAAAUGCCAAACUCUUCAAUGUGCAGACACUGAUGAACAUCCACAAGCAUCAAGACCAUCCAGGAAGACAUGAUGUCACCAAAUGAACCCAAUCAGGCACCAGGGACUAAUCCUGGAGAAACACAGGUGUGACCUUUCAGACAGAGAAUUC